UGGGGCAAGCUAAAACUGGGCUAUGACCAGA
rnacentral:piRNA from 1 species